rnacentral:rRNA from 1 species
UCGAGAGUUUGAUCCUGGCUCAGGAUGAACGCUAGCGGCAGGCUUAACACAUGCAAGUCGAGGGGUAUAGUUCUUCGGAGCUAGAGACCGGCGCACGGGUGCGUAACGCGUAUGCAAUCUACCUUUUACAGAGGGAUAGCCCAGAGAAAUUUGGAUUAAUACCUCAUAGUAUGUGAGAAUCGCAUGGUUUUCACAUUAAAGUUCCAACGGUAAAAGAUGAGCAUGCGUCCCAUUAGCUAGAUGGUAAGGUAACGGCUUACCAUGGCUACGAUGGGUAGGGGUCCUGAGAGGGAGAUCCCCCACACUGGUACUGAGACACGGACCAGACUCCUACGGGGAGCAGCAGUGAGGAAUAUUGGACAAUGGGGCGCAAGCCUGAUCCCAGCCAUGCCGCGUGCAGGAUGACGGUCCUAUGGA